CUGGACGGGGUCAAUGGGCGAUCAAUAAGACCCAUGGCCUAGGCUUGUGACCUUCAUUGCACUUUGGAGGGGUGCCUGCCUAAGGUCGGCCCAAGUGGUCGAGCCUACGUCAUAAUUUGUUGCUGUGGGGGCCUGCGUUCGCGCGGCCCCUGCCCAAUACUAAGAUCUAAAUUUGUUUGGUCAUAUAUUAAGCACGGCUCUAUAAUUGGGCUCCAAAAUAUAUUAAAUUGUUAUAUUAUAUAUUAAGUGUGAAUAAAAAAAUAUAGAAAGAUAAAUUUAGUUUGAAUAUGUCAUAAUACAUUCAUAAAGAAAAAAAUUGGUUAAACAAAAUAAAAUGCUAAUAAGAAUUGCUCAUGUUAUAAAGUGAGUGAAAAUGUUAUGAAAAGUUGUUCAUAUAUGAAUUUAUUUCAACUGUUCUCAAUAUAGCUGUUGUUUCUAUACUUGAUUUUGAUGCUUCCUGUAUGUAUUUUGUUCUUUGUUGGAUUCUGGAUAUGAGCUUGUGUAUUACCGUGUUUGAUGUCAUUAUCCAUCACAGAACUCGGCCUUUGUCAGUGGUCUUCUAAUGUGACAUAAUGCUGUUUUGUUCUCGAUGAUAACUCCUGUCUGUGAUGUCGUAAGACACUUAUUUUGCUUGUAUCCGUAUAUGGCUAUACAGAUAACACUCCUGUUAGCUGCUACUGUAUAUACAUUUUCACGUAAGCUUAUAGACUCUUGUUGAAGACGCAGAAUAAGGUUCUGAACAAAAUGAACCUGACAUAAGUCCGAAGAAGUUGAAAACCAACAUGACCUGAGGAAGCUGGUGAUGCUGCAGCGAUGCUAUAUAAGAAAUGUGUGUGUAUUAUUAUAUAUGUUAUCGAUAAUUCAUCCUUUCUUAGAGAAGUUGCCUUGUUUAAUCAAGACAACAACUCUUCAGUUGAUUGAGCCAUAUCCAUUUUCUUUGGAUAAUGUAAUACAAGAACAGAAAGAUUCUGAAGGAAAUCGCGCUGCUGUUAACAGUUGCCAUUUUGUUGGCUUGUUGCUCUAUAUGUUACUGAUUACUCGGAGAGUAACACCGUUUUCGACUAAUUCUCCCACAUCAGCAUCUGAGAGAGAAGUGGAGUAAAGACAGUAGUAUUAGUAAUGAGCUGAGCAGGCUGGAAAACUUACUUACCUGGACGGGGUCAAUGGGCGAUCAAUAAGACCUAUGGCCUAGGCUUGUGACCUCCAUUGCACUUUGGAGGGGUGCCUGCCUAAGGUCGGCCCAAGUGGUCGAGCCUACGUCAUAAUUUGUUGCUAUGGGGGCCUGCGUUCGCGCAGCCCCUGCCCAAAUCUACGCCCAAAAAUUUCUCUGGCCCAUCUGAAUUUUACAAAAACAUAUGUUUUCUCUGCCCCAUCUGUUUGAUAUAAGAUUAUUUCGACUACAUUAUCAAACACAACGAUAAGUGAUGUCUAUAUGACUAACAAUCUAAAAGUGCCAUAAGUCAAAGAAGGCGCGAUAAUGAGUCUUGGCUUCAAAGAUCAAAUAUUUGUCUUGAAAAUACAAACCAGCUACAGUACUAUUACAUUGGGCCUGAUCUUAUGGGUAGCGAAUACCUUUAGCAGAUGCAGGAGCUUGUGGAUGAUUCCAAGAGUUUGUGCUGCAUAUUCUUAAGUUUGGCAAAGGCC
rnacentral:lncRNA from 1 species